rnacentral:rRNA from 1 species
GACGGAGGGUGCUAGCGUUGUUCGGAAUUACUGGGCGUAAAGAGCGCGUAGGCGGCUUGGUAAGUUGGGAGUGAAAGCCCGAGGCUUAACCUCGGAAUUGCUCUCAAAACUGCUGAGCUAGAGUAUGGUAGGGGAUGGUAGAAUUCCUAGUGUAGAGGUGGAAUUCUUAGAUAUUAGGAGGAAUACCGGUGGCGAAGGCGGCCAUCUGGACCAUUACUGACGCUGAGGCGCGAAAGCGUGGGGAGCAAACAGG